UGGGGAAUUUUGCGCAAUGGGCUAACGCCUGACGCAGCAACGCCGCGUGGAGGAUGAAGGUCUUUGGAUUGUAAACUCCUGUCAGCAGGGAAAAAGGGAGGGGGCCUAAUACGCUCUUGACUUGAUUGUACCUGCAGAGGAAGCCCCGGCUAACUCUGUGCCAGCAGCCGCGGUAAUACAGAGGGGGCGAGCGUUAUUCGGAAUUAUUGGGCGUAAAGGGCGCGUAGGCGGCUCUUCAAGUGACGGGUGAAAUCCCUCGGCUUAACCGAGGAACUGCCUGUCAGACUGGGGAGCUUGAGACCGGGAGAGGUGAGUGGAAUUCCCAGUGUAGCGGUGAAAUGCGUAGAUAUUGGGAGGAACACCAGUGGCGAAGGCGGCUCACUGGACCGGUACUGACGCUGAGGCGCGAAAGCGUGGGGAGCAAACAG
rnacentral:rRNA from 1 species